GACGUGGUGGAAACUUGUGUUGGGAAAAUAACUUCAAUUUAAUGCUUCUAUAUCUGUCCCCUUGUUCAUUUUUCUUCACUUAAGAUAGAAAAUGUUAUGAAACUUACCCAAUAUCCCCUUUUAGUCCUGGGUACUUUUUUCCAAUUCCAGAUAUUAAUGGGACCCUUGAGUCUUAGAUUAUCUGGCUCUCAAGGAAGGAAUAAAUAAUCAACUAACUGAAUAUGAUUUUGAUGCGAUCUAGUUCUCCUGAUGUUUAACAUGACAUGAUGAUGUAUGCCCCUUCCAGAAAAGAAUUACUAUAGACCGCAAUUCCUGAAGUCCGUGAUCUUGAAAAGGACCCAAAGCUACUCUAUUCUUGUUUACAAUGAGAAUACACUA
rnacentral:lncRNA from 1 species